UACGAAGGGGGCUAGCGUUGCUCGGAAUUACUGGGCGUAAAGCGCACGUAGGCGGAUUGUUAAGUCGGGGGUGAAAUCCUGGAGCUCAACUCCAGAACUGCCUUCGAAACUGGCGAUCUUGAGUCCGAGAGAGGUGAGUGGAACUGCGAGUGUAGAGGUGAAAUUCGUAGAUAUUCGCAAGAACACCAGUGGCGAAGGCGGCUCACUGGCCCGGUACUGACGCUGAGGUGCGAAAGCGUGGGGAGCAAACAGG
rnacentral:rRNA from 1 species